UACGAAGGGGGCUAGCGUUGCUCGGAAUCACUGGGCGUAAAGCGCACGUAGGCGGAUUGUUAAGUCAGGGGUGAAAUCCUGGAGCUCAACUCCAGAACUGCCUUUGAUACUGGCGAUCUUGAGUCCGGGAGAGGUGAGUGGAACUGCGAGUGUAGAGGUGAAAUUCGUAGAUAUUCGCAAGAACACCAGUGGCGAAGGCGGCUCACUGGCCCGGUACUGACGCUGAGACGCGAAAGCGUGGGGAGCGAACGAG
rnacentral:rRNA from 1 species